rnacentral:pre_miRNA from 15 species
CCACGUCUACCCUGUAGAUCCGAAUUUGUUUUAUACUAGCUUUAAGGACAAAUUCGGUUCUAGAGAGGUUUGUGUG